GAUCAUGACCUGAACUGAAGUUGGAUGCUUAACCGACUGAGCCGCCCAGGCGCCCCUCUUACAAUUUUGAAAGGAACAGUGAGCCUACAUCUCCACAUGACAAUGAGCCAUCCUGAGCUACGGCAGGACUCAUGACUGUCCGUCUAGAGACUCCAUUUCCCAGCAUCCUUUGCAUAUAGCUGGAACCAUAUGACUAAGUUCUCACCAAUGGAAUGGGAACAAGAGUAAUGCUCCAUUUCUUACAGAGUAGACGCUGUCCCCCCAAAUCCCUUGGGGUUGAAACAUAAGAAAGUAUCUGGCAAGCCAGCUCCUAAUGUAUAGACAAGGAACACAUCUCAGGAUGAAACAAGCAGCAAGAGAAAAGAGCCUGAGUCUCUGGAUGGCUUUGUGAAGCAGAACUACCUCCUUGCCUUAUACCUCCUUUUCUUGGAGUAUUUACAAGACAGAAAUAAACUAGAUUUUUUUUGA